AAUACAAUUUAGAACAACCUUCUAAUUUUGUUUUUUUGGGAGAUUGUUCUGGAUUGUAUUGA
rnacentral:pre_miRNA from 1 species